rnacentral:rRNA from 1 species
GACGAACGCUGGCGGCGUGCUUAACACAUGCAAGUCGAACGGAAAGGCCCUGCUUUUGUGGGGUGCUCGAGUGGCGAACGGGUGAGUAACACGUGAGUAACCUGCCCUUGACUUUGGGAUAACUUCAGGAAACUGGGGCUAAUACCGGAUAGGAGCUCCUGCUGCAUGGUGGGGGUUGGAAAGUUUCGGCGGUUGGGGAUGGACUCGCGGCUUAUCAGCUUGUUGGUGGGGUAGUGGCUUACCAAGGCUUUGACGGGUAGCCGGCCUGAGAGGGUGACCGGCCACAUGGGGACGGGGUAGCGGCCAGGCCGCCAAGGGGGGGAAGGGGGGGGGAAUUUGGAAAAAGGGGGGGAAGCAUGAGGGAGAACCGCCGGGGGGGGGAUGACGGCCUUGGGGUUGUAAACCGUUUUCCCCUGGGAAGAAGCGUGGGGGGGGGAAAUGGUAAAAGAAGCACCGGCAAACUAGGG